rnacentral:rRNA from 1 species
GGCUCAGGACGAACGCUGGCGGCGUGCUUAACACAUGCAAGUCGAGCGGUAAGGCCCUUCGGGGUACACGAGCGGCGAACGGGUGAGUAACACGUGAGCAAUCUGCCCUUCACUUUGGGAUAACCACCGGAAACGGUGGCUAAUACCGAAUACGACCACUUCCUGCAUGGGAUGGUGGUGGAAAGUUCCGGCGGUGGAGGAUGAGCUCGCGGCCUAUCAGCUUGUUGGUGGGGUAAUGGCCUACCAAGGCAACGACGGGUAGCCGGCCUGAGAGGGUGACCGGCCACACUGGGACUGAGACACGGCCCAGACUCCUACGGGAGGCAGCAGUGGGGAAUAUUGGACAAUGGGCGAAAGCCUGAUCCAGCAACGCCGCGUGAGGGAUGACGGCCUUCGGGUUGUAAACCUCUUUCAGUAGGGACGAAGCGCAAGUGACGGUACCUACAGAAGAAGCACCGGCCAACUACGUGCCAGCAGCCGCGGUAAUACGUAGGGUGCGAGCGUUGUCCGGAAUUAUUGGGCGUAAAGGGCUCGUAGGCGGUUUGUCGCGUCGGGAGUGAAAACACGGGGCUUAACCCCGUGCCUGCUUCCGAUACGGGCAGACUAGAGGUAUGCAGGGGAGAACGGAAUUCCUGGUGUAGCGGUGAAAUGCGCAGAUAUCAGGAGGAACACCGGUGGCGAAGGCGGUUCUCUGGGCAUUACCUGACGCUGAGGAGCGAAAGUGUGGGGAGCGAACAGGAUUAGAUACCCUGGUAGUCCACACCGUAAACGUUGGGCGCUAGGUGUGGGACUCAUUCCACGAGUUCCGUGCCGCAGCUAACGCAUUAAGCGCCCCGCCUGGGGAGUACGGCCGCAAGGCUAAAACUC